rnacentral:rRNA from 1 species
UAGUCUCAGUUCGGAUUGUAGGCUGAAACUCGCCUACAUGAAGCUGGAGUUGCUAGUAAUCGCGAAUCAGCAUGUCGCGGUGAAUACGUUCCCGGGCCUUGUACACACCGCCCGUCACACCAUGAGAGUUGGCAAUACCCAACGUACGUGAUCUAACCCGCAAGGGAGGAAGCGUCCUAAGGUAGGGUCAGCGAUUGGGGUGAAGUCGUAACAAGGUAAC